GACGAGCGCUGGCGGCGUGCCUAAUACAUGCAAGUUGAGCGAUGAAGCUUGGUGCUUGCACCAAUUUGAAGAGCAGCGAACGGGUGAGUAACGCGUGGGGAAUCUGCCUUUGAGCGGGGGACAACAUUUGGAAACGAAUGCUAAUACCGCAUAACAACUUUAAACAUAAGUUUUAAGUUUGAAAGAUGCAAUUGCAUCACUCAAAGAUGAUCCCGCGUUGUAUUAGCUAGUUGGUGAGGUAAAGGCUCACCAAGGCGAUGAUACAUAGCCGACCUGAGAGGGUGAUCGGCCACAUUGGGACUGAGACACGGCCCAAACUCCUACGGGAGGCAGCAGUAGGGAAUCUUCGGCAAUGGACGAAAGUCUGACCGAGCAACGCCGCGUGAGUGAAGAAGGUUUUCGGAUCGUAAAACUCUGUUGGUAGAGAAGAACGUUGGUGAGAGUGGAAAGCUCAUCAAGUGACGGUAACUACCCAGAAAGGGACGGCUAACUACGUG
rnacentral:rRNA from 1 species